rnacentral:rRNA from 1 species
CCCUUAGAUGUUCUGGGCCGCACGCGCGCUACACUGACGAUGGCAACGAGUUUUUCCUUCGCCGAAAGGUGUGGGUAAUCUUUUGAAACAUCGUCGUGCUGGGGAUAGAUCAUUGCAAUUUUUGAUCUUGAACGAGGAAUUCCUAGUAAGCGCGAGUCAUCAGCUCGCGUUGAUUACGUCCCUGCCCUUUGUACACACCGCCCGCCGCUACUACCGAUUGAAUGGUUUAGUGAGGACUCCUGAUUGGCGCCGCCGCCCCGGCGACGGAGCAGCGGACUGCCGAAAAGUUGUUCAAACUUGAUCAUUUAGAGGAAGUAAAAGUCGUAACA